rnacentral:rRNA from 1 species
GACGAACGCUGGCGGCGUGCUUAACACAUGCAAGUCGAACGGAAAGGCCCUGCGGUUGUCCCGUGUUCGUAAGGGGAGGGGAGGAGUUUGACGAUCGGACCCUCCCCUUGGGAUACGGCUGAGACCUUGGGACUCAGACGCAAAAGGACUACGCGCUUCUUCUUCUGUGGGGGCAAUCGUUUGCGUCGGCGGUUGGGGAUGGUCCCGCUGCUUAUGAGCUUGUUGGUGGGGUAGUGGCCUACCACGGCUUGUACGGGUAGCCGGCCUGAGAGGGUGACCGGCCACACUGGGACUGAGAUACGGCGCAGACUCCUACGGGAGGCAGCAGUGGGGAAUAUUGCACAAUGGGCGCAAGCCUGAUGCAGAGACGCCGCGUGCGGGAUGACGGCCUUCGGGUUGUAAACCUCUUUCGAUGGAGACGAAGCGUAAGUGACGGUACCUAUAGAAGAAGCACCGGCUAACUACGUG